CUAGACAUCAGUACUGUGAAGGCUGAGCUUCAAAUUACAAGUUUCUUUAAAUUGCACAGGAGUUUUAAAAACCAAAGAUGUUGAAAUCAUGCUAAAUUUAUGUAGCUACUCAGUAGAUAUAUAAACACUUAACUUUGUAAAAGUAGAUUGUUCAAUGCGAUUUAAACCUGAGAAAAAUUAAUGCCUUAAGUUAAGUGUUUUUUCCUUUGAAUGUCCUUUAUUUUUUCUUGUAUUUUGUCUUGGUCAGCUUGAAUGGUCACUCUAACAUCAGUAUAUCCGUGCACAGACAUCCUCGUUCCUGGCGAAGAGGUCUCUUGUGAGGGAAGAAGCUUGCCCAGUGCCUAGCUUUCCGUAUCCAGCAGAAUGUCUUCUGCAAAAACAUAUCUCCUUACUGCUGAGAAAAAAAGUGAAGGUCUGUUUUCACAGAUACUUUGAACAAAAAGAAGAUCCAAUCUUCGGCCAGAAAAUAGAUUAGCAUUUUUGAAGCUCUGUUAAACUUUGCGAAAUGCAUGCUUACCCUUCCUAUUUUCAUGAACUGAUUUUAUACUGUUACGCUUUUUAACAU
rnacentral:lncRNA from 1 species